GCGUACCAUUAGUUAGUUGGUGGGGUAAAGGCCUCCCAAGGCGACGAUGGUUAGUUGGUCUGAGAGGAUGAUCAGCCACACUGGAACUGGAACACGGUCCAGACUCCUACGGGAGGCAGCAGUGAGGAAUUUUGCGCAAUGGGGGAAACCCUGACGCAGCAACGCCGCGUGAGUGAUGAAGGCUUUCGGGUCGUAAAGCUCUGUCAAGUGGGAAGAAGUUGUGUAUGGCUAAUAUCUGUGCACAUUGACGGUACCACUGAAGGAAGCACCGGCUAACUCCGUGCCAGCAGCCGCGGUAAUACGGAGGGUGCAAGCGUUAUUCGGAUUUACUGGGCGUAAAGGGCGCGUAGGCGGCUUGAUAAGUCAGUCGUGAAAGCCCGGGGCUCAACCCCGGAAGUGCGAUUGAAACUAUCAGGCUUGAGUAUGGUAGAGGGAAGUGGAAUUCCAGGUGUAGCGGUGAAAUGCGUAGAUAUCUGGAGGAACACCGGUGGCGAAGGCGACUUCCUGGACCAAUACUGACGCUGAUGCGCGAAGGUGUGGGUAGCAAACAGGAUUAGAUACCCUGGUAGUCCACACAGUAAACGGUGAUCACUAGGUGUUGCGGGUAUUGACCCCUGCAGUGCCGGAGCUAACGCAUUAA
rnacentral:rRNA from 1 species